CAGGACGAACGCUGGCGGCGUGCUUAACACAUGCAAGUCGAACGGAAAGGCCCUGCUUUUGUGGGGUGCUCGAGUGGCGAACGGGUGAGUAACACGUGAGUAACCUGCCCUUGACUUUGGGAUAACUUCAGGAAACUGGGGCUAAUACCGGAUAGGAGCUCCUGCUGCAUGGUGGGGGUUGGAAAGUUUCGGCGGUUGGGGAUGGACUCGCGGCUUAUCAGCUUGUUGGUGGGGUAGUGGCUUACCAAGGCUUUGACGGGUAGCCGGCCUGAGAGGGUGACCGGCCACAUUGGGACUGAGAUACGGCCCAGACUCCUACGGGAGGCAGCAGUGGGGAAUAUUGCACAAUGGGCGGAAGCCUGAUGCAGCAACGCCGCGUGCGGGAUGACGGCCUUCGGGUUGUAAACCGCUUUCGCCUGUGACGAAGCGUGAGUGACGGUAAUGGGUAAAGAAGCACCGGCUAACUACUGGCCCAG
rnacentral:rRNA from 1 species